AUUGAACGCUGGCGGCAGGCCUAACACAUGCAAGUCGAACGGUAACAGGAAGCAGCUUGCUGCUUCGCUGACGAGUGGCGGACGGGUGAGUAAUGUCUGGGAAGCUGCCUGAUGGAGGGGGAUAACUACUGGAAACGGUAGCUAAUACCGCAUAAUGUCGCAAGACCAAAGAGGGGGACCUUCGGGCCUCUUGCCAUCGGAUGUGCCCAGAUGGGAUUAGCUUGUUGGUGGGGUAACGGCUCACCAAGGCGACGAUCCCUAGCUGGUCUGAGAGGAUGACCAGCCACACUGGAACUGAGACACGGUCCAGACUCCUACGGGAGGCAGCAGUGGGGAAUAUUGCACAAUGGGCGCAAGCCUGUUGCAGCCAUGCCGCGUGUAUGAAGAAGGCCUUCGGGUUGUAAAGUACUUUCAGCGGGGAGGAAGGGAGUAAAGUUAAUACCUUUGCUCAUUGACGUUACCCGCAGAAGAAACACCGGCUAACUCCGU
rnacentral:rRNA from 1 species